UGUAGAGGUGCUUAGCUGAUGUAUAUUGCAUUGGUAUGUAGCGUUCGUAUGGGCGGCCUCAUUUCUUUGCGCGGGGUGGAGUAGUGGGUGAUGUCUUUGGUUGCAUCCGUCUACUCCACAGUUCCUUCUGUAGUUGCACGUUCCUGCAUGUUUCUUCAAGCAUAAGAAACAUACAUUAGUAGAUCGAGCGGCGUCCCAUCGGGCAUCGCUGUUGAAGCCCUAAAAACGCUCGCAUCGUAUGAUCGUCGGGCACGUUCCGUAGCAUAUUACACACUUGGGUGGGAGCACCUUUGGCUGGUUUGCCCUUGUCUGAUUACACACGUUUUUUUUGCGAUGUUACUGCGUCGUCAUCUCGCAUCAGCAUACUGGCCUUCCCCACUAUACCUUUAAUCCAGGACGAGAAAUCGUACAAUGAAAUUGCAGGUAAGUUUUCGCAGUAUCCUCCCCAGUCGUACUUCAUAGUCGAUGGUAGUUUGUUCACCAACGCGUCCAGGAGGGAGGAAUCAUAAAAAAGGUCCCAUGUCGGUCACCACAAGCUUGCACCGUAGAUAAAAUGUUUUUUAUGGCCAGUCCGAAGUCAACCACAGUUGAUGGUCGGUCUAGGCAGGGGGUGGUCAGAUCUCUUAUGCGUUGUGCACACUGAUCAAUUAUUCUCCUUGGCAUUCCGAAUCGCAUUCUAAGCGUUUCGAUUACCUCGUCCACGUUGCAGGGGUGAAGGAGAAGACCGUAGACCGCCUGAUAUGCUGGUCCCUUAAGGGAGGCUUUAAGACGUUGGAUGUUUUCCCUGUUUGUCAGCCCACACAUUUCGGUUGAAUCUUCGAAUGCAGCAAGGAAGUCCGGCCACUCUUCUGCGGAUCCAUCGAACAUGGGGAGAGCAGCUGGGAUGAUUUGUCGCGAAAGUAUUUGUUGCUGUGUGGGCAGCGUGCGUUGGGAGCUAGAAGCGUCUCUCAUGGAUGGUGGAAGGUACUUUCUCAUUAGGGAGGCUGUUCUCUCGUUGUACGUGUUCCCUCCCAACAAUGGCACUCAAAUUCUCUCAUUUUCUCAUGCCCUCUCUGUCACAUUCGUAGCUCGAUCUCCUUCUUCUGGGACUUAGCGUUCUGAGCAUGCGGUUUUUGCAACGGCCAUUUCGUGCCGCUUCGAUCUCAUCACCUUCUCUCCCCUCCCACCCCCCUUUUUGAUCCACACUUUGGGGCUUGCAAAUUUUUGACAUGUCAAAUGAGAGUGAAGCCAAAAUGUAAACAGCAAGUGUUUGCGUGUGCGGCGAUCUUAUUAAACAUAAAACUAACCACGACAGUAUUAUUUAGUUGUGGUGGAAGCCAAAAAAAUAGCUUGGAGCAUUCAAUAAAGCAGGAUGAAAUUUUUAACCUUCAAGCACGACGCUGACGCUGAGGUAAGGUGUGCUUGUGUUUAAUUUCGAUGAUUGUUUCAUUUUAGGAUGUGAUUUGUGCCAUAUAACCUUUUCUGACGGGGAUUCUUUAGUCGACAUCGUCUGCAGCUGUUAAGCGGUGCAGAGGAAGGGGCUCGCUACGACCCUUCCCACACCCGGACGCUUUUUCCGGGGAUGAAGGAAAUGUUCCCGGCUAUAUGCGCAAAAUCUAACGGUAACCCGUGUUGUGAACGAAUCGGCAUAUGCGGUGCCGGACACUGUGGAAAUUGUACACAACGGGACGAUGUCCAGGCACGACACAAGAGUACGAUUACAUGCAACUGAUCUGCUGCAAGGAAAGGAUUUCGACGUGUGGAACAAGGAUGUGCUGAAUGCGUUCCUGAUCGAUAUCACGUGGAUAAUUCUACUGCGACUAUAAGGGAUACUUGCUGGAUUGUAUUCGUGACAGGGCCGGCCAGAAGGGUGUGGGCAAGUUGACGGAAAU